GAAAGAUGGACGCAAAGUCGUCACAGCGAUCCAAGUCAUAUUUCUUGUGAUUUUCAGUUUGAAUUAUACUUCACCUUUGGCGCCCUUCAUUUGAGUGAUAGAAAUACGGUUGAUGCUGGUUUCGUGAUAUUGUCACAUCCAAUUACAAGGAAGAAGUAGUCAUUGUUUUUACGUCCUGUGCCAAGUACUCUUAGCCGCGAUUUGAAGUUCCAGCUAUGGAAGAAGUAGGAGCACCUCUACAAGGAUGAAAAGAAUUAGGUUUCGCCCUACUACAGCGAUAAUGGCAAUCCAAAAAAGGGGGCCGGCUUGGUGAUUUGCGAACAUCAUUGUUUUUGUAUUUCAACAACUUCUUGAAAAAAAAAUACUAACAAUACAGGAGACAAUAUGAAAUCAC